AUUGAUUUAAUUUUCAAUCUAAAAAAUAUUUUAUUUAUUUAUUUUUUAUUGAGGAGUAGAUUAGAGAGAAAUGAGUUAGAUGAGAGAAUAAGAGAGAGAAUUACUCGAAAAAUAAAAAAAUUAUUCUUUUUAAAAAAAUAUUUUUCAUAAAAAAAAAUAUAAAUCAAACAGUAUAAAAAUGAAAAUUUGGUGAAAAAAUGACAUUUUUUGUGAAAAAAUAUUUACCUCUAGAUUUUCUAUCUGAAAUGUGUGGAGCCCAAACUGGUCCUCUGCUUUGCUGGAUUCAAGCUCCCCAUUGUUGGUUUUUAAUGGGAUUUGUCUGCUGAGAGAGACUAGUUUCGGUUUCCCAAUCAAAUACACCAUACCUCUCCCCCUCUCUUUCUCAGAUUCUUUUCCACUUCUUUGUGUGUAGUGUAUUUUUUUCUUCUUUUUGUUACUUCAUCACCUACAUCAUCUGAAGACUGUUCAAAGUGGCGAGAGAAAGGAAUAAAUUGAAACCCACUUUGAUUUUAUGCUCACUUUGAAGGAUCUACAGAUCUAAAUCUGUUCCACUUUCAGAUCUUCCUCUUGGCUCAUAAGGUAAAAGUUUAAAGAUAUUUGUAAAAUGUUGUGUAGUGUAAUUAGAUAUUUUCGGGAUUUUACUAUUUCAGGAAUUUGGAUUUUUCUUUUGUUUUAUUUAUUAUUCGUUUCCAUUCCUUUUUCUGAGAGUUGGACUUUCUGGAAUUUGAACUGGCUGCUGCGCCUGAAGGAAAAAGUGAAUUUUGACCACUCUUGUUUUCAAAGCCUCUCCUCCCCUUUUCUUCGUUGCUGAAUUUUCUCUUUCUUUUUUUAUUUAUUUUUUGCGCCAGGUUGGUGUCAUGGGUGUUCUGUUCCCAUAAGAAACAUAAGAUCGGUUUCG
rnacentral:lncRNA from 1 species